UUUAGAUCACUGUGAGACACUGGAAAGGUGGUAAGAGCAGAUGGUCCGUGGGCGAUAUGUGACGGGAAUCUGAAAAACUUUUGCCACUCCUCUGAAGGAUAAGGGCAGAGCGAUGAUCAGCAAGGUGUAAGGCAACUGAAUAUUGUCACAAAAAUCCUUCACAGAGAAAAUACAAAAGGAUGCCACCCCUGCCCUCUGCUAGCAAGCUGUGCUGAACUAGCAGGUGUUUCUGCUAAGGACCACGGACCAGCUGACCCCCUCCAGGUAGCUCAUAAGAGAGGAGAGGAGAGCAGGCCACCUCUACGUGGGAAAGCAAGUAGGAGUGCAUCAGCUUUGGGAGAUAACAGACUCGCUUCUAGCCCUGAAUUGAACUAUAUCAGCUCUGCUCACAUGCUAGCUCUCCUGGCAAGUCUGAAAUAUGGGAGUUAUAGACCCACAUUUCAAUGCCUGCCCAGCAGACACUGCUGAGGACGUGCACUUUCAGGAUGGAGAUCUCCUCUUGCUGGUGUCUCUGAAGGCAGCUCUGUGGAAGCAAGUUCCAAUUUAAAUGAAAGACUGUAGAAGACCAACACCGGAAGCUUUUUUGUUUUAUCCCAUGCGUCUCUUUUCUUCAUGGCAAUGCCAUGUGUCUGUGUCAAGGCUAUAAAAUAAGAUACCUCUUUUACAGAAAUGAAUUA